rnacentral:lncRNA from 1 species
UCCCAAGUAGAUAAGAUUUGAUGCAACCGUCUCCCCUGAUCUCGCGGAAGCAAUUGAGGGCUGAAUUGUCUCGUCCAGUUUGGAAUGUCCAACGAUCCGGUAAUCUCGGAAUCGUGCAAUCUCACAGUUAACAACCCAGCUAUUCGACAUCCUUCUAUAUAAAUAAUCAGAGCUCUGAGGAUCCAAGUAAGUACAAUCAAAUCCUUCUUAGAGAACUCAUUGCUGCUUUUUUAUUCUUUAUUUUUCUGACUUGAGCAUCGAAAGAUCCUCACCGGAGCCGCAACCUUCAAUUUGGGACUUGUUUUGUAGGUCAC